rnacentral:lncRNA from 10 species
CUGAAAGAAAAAGCAGAACACGCCAUUAACAAGGCCAGAACCCCGACUGCCAUUCCUGGACGGGAGCCACCAACACCCGCAAAAUCGAUCGAUUCAGCCUGGGACGCUUGCUGUUUCCGAACCUCUGUUGCCACCUAUCCCAGUUUGGAGGGAAUUUUCCCAAGGAUGGUGAAGAAGGGAUUUCCACACGCCGCCUCACUCAGCCCCGCACCCCUGGCCACCAGCCAGGACUUAGGGUAAUCAUGACACAAAUUUCCCCCAGUGGAAAGUGACAUGUUUCUGGAGAUCCAGGGAAUUUAAACCAAUGAAUACAUAAAAACAGUCACAUGAGUGAUGACUAACAGUAGCAGUAGACAGGCCACCACUCUUCCUUGCCAUAGUCAUCCAAAAUGAAAUGAGCAUCUUUUGAAAACCUAAGCCUCAUUCUACUCCUGUCCCUCUUUUGUCACUCCUAUCUUCCUGUUUUCCAGGCUUCAUGACCACACUGCUGUAGGAAGCCAUAAGUUGGAAAUCAACGGGCCUGGCUUGAAGUGUGGCCUUAGGCAACACCGUUCUCAUCUACAUCUGGAUUCUCCAACAAAGCUGGGAAAAAAACGAUCCAAGGGAAGCCAAUCAAAGAGCCUGGAUUGCCAGUCUUCCCUGCUGCGAUCUCCGCCUGCGAUUCUCCAGGGGAAAUGUCCUUUAUGACCUUACAGCUCACCUGGAACCCUCCACCUAGGGCCCGAGGCAGCACAUCCUCUCGUGCCCGGGCACUUCCAGGCAUUGCCCUGAGUACUGGGCACUUCACACACUGGGCUGGACCACUCACCGGAGUGAAUAAGGAGGCUUGAAGCUGUCCUGGUACAACAAUGGAAUGAAGCGCUAGUCUCAGCUCAGCCACUUGGAAUAUGACUCCAACUCUCACAUUUCUGUGGGGUGUAUUCAUUUCAGCUUUUUGUUUGGUGCUAUGGGGAGGGAAGGGCCCUCAGACUGGCAUCCUUUUUCUUCCAGGAUGAUGAUGAAUAUUAUGAAAGUCUGAGGCUGUUUUUAAAAUUCUGCUCUAAUACGUUGUUUUUCUGUGCAUAAGAAUUAUGUAUUCUUAGCUGCAAAACUGGAAUCCGUCUGCUCAUGGAUAAACUUCUGGCCAUGAGCAUGUACCUUUCAGGUAACUUCCCUAUCAGAGAAGCUUACAAUCAAGAAUCCUACUUCCCUAGUUCCCUACACAGGCCCAGGAGGCUUUUGGUGGUAUCCGCUGGACUUUUGAAAAUUAGGGAAUUUCUCCUACUCUGAACUCUACCAGGAAUCACAUAUCAAGAUCUCAGUACCAUCUUACCUAGACCCUCUUGACCUCUUCUUUCUCCAUAAUCUCUUUCUAGCUCAUGUCAUCCAGACUCGAGGGCCCCAUUCUCAGUUUGACACUGAGGACACCCACGCUAUUAUCUCUGGCUGUGACCUUUCCCACGAGCUCCAAAUUCACACCAUCUUUUGACGUCUCCACUUAACUUCCCCAUUUCGGUGUCUCAAACUUGACAAUUCAAAACAGAACUCCCUCCCACUUCCAAACUGGUUUCCUACCCAACUUUCCCAGGCCCCCAGUUUCUCAAGUCAGAAAUCUAUGAGUCAUCCUUGAUGUUUGCCAUUCCCUCAUCCCUCCCAUCCAACCCAUUCGUAGGCUCUUGGGAAUCUACCUCCAAAAUGUCUCUGGAAUCCAUCCUCUUCUCUCCACCUCCACUGCCAACCGCCUCUCACCUGCAAUAGCUCUGAGGCAGCCUCCCCACUUCUUCUGCCUCCCAUCCCCACCCCUACAUAUUCCUGUCCUAUCUCCACCCAGAAGCAAACAAGAUCUUCUUUAACUGUAAAUUGGUUCACAUCUCCCCUGCUUAGAACUUUCCAAGGCCUUGACAUUAUUCCAAGAUCAAGACCAAACUCUUGACUGUGGCCAGUGAGACCUUUCCUGAACUGGUCCUACCUACCUCUGCAAACCCAUCUAGUGACACCUUUCCCUUAGCUUGCCUCCAACAUAGUGUAUUAGUUUCCUAUGGCUGCUGCAGGAAAUGACACAAAUUAUCCCCUUAUAGUCGUGGAAGCCAGAAGUCCAAAAUGGGCUGGAGCCAAGGCAGGCAGGGCUAUGCUGCUUGCAGAGGUUCUAGGGGAGAAUCUAUUUCUUGGUCUUCUUUGGCUUCUAGAGCUGCAAUCCUUGGCUCAUGGCGCCUUCCUCCACCUUCAGAGCCAGCAGUGUAGCAUCUUACUUGGUGAUCACAUUUCUUUCUUCUCCAGUGUCAUAUUUCCCUUUGCUUUACAUUGUCCUUUAAAUUUCUCUUAUAAGGAAACUGCGAUUGCAUUUAAGACCCACCCAGGUAAUCCAAGAUGAUCUUCCCAUCUCAAGACCCUUAACUGAAUCCCACCUCCAAAGUCCCUUUUGCCAGGUAAGGCAACAUUCCCAGGUCCCGGGGAUUAGGAUCUACAUAUGUUCGGGAGUGACUAUUGAGCCUACCAUGCAUACCACGCUCCUUCCCUCACCAGGGUCUUUGUACCUCUUGUCCCCCAUUACUAGAAUGCUCCCUUCUUCCCUCUCACUCUUUGCUUGGCCAUAUCUUUCUCAUUCUUGGGGACACAGCUUACCUGGCACCUCCUCAGACAACCUGUCUCGGACCAGCCCCUUAACAGCCUGAAGACUUUUUUUUUUUUUUUUUUGAUACGGAGUCUUGCUCUGUUGCCCAGGCUAGAGUGCAGUAGUGUGAUCUCAGCUCACUGCAACCUCUGCCUCCCGGGUUCAAGCAGUUCUCCUGCUUCAACCUCCCAAGUAGCUGGGAUUACAGGCACCUGCUACCAUGCCCGGCUAAUUUUUGUAUUUUUAGUAGAGACAGGGUUUCACCAUGUUGGCCAGGCUGGUCUCGAACUCCCGACCGCAAGUGAUCUGCCCACCUUGGCCUCCCAAAGUGCUGAGAUUACAGGCAUGAGCCACAGUGCCUGGAUGAAGACUUUUUCAUGUCUUUUUCAACUGACUUGUUUUCUGCCUGCCUCUCCCUCCACCCUCACCUAAGCACCUUGAGGACCAUGUCUGUUUUGUCAAUCCACUGGUCAUCCUAAUAUAACUGGUUAAUAAAUCAUUGCUGAAUUUAUUUAUUUAUUUAUUUAUGACAGUCUCGCUGUGUCGCCCAGGCUGGAGUGCAGUGGCAUGAUCUCAGCUCACUGCAACCUCCUCCUCCAAGAUUCAAGCGAUUCUCCUGCCUCUGCUUCCCAAGUAGCUGGGAUUACAGGCGUGCGCUGCCACACCCAGCUAACUUUUUUUUUUCUUCUUCUAUUUUUAGAGACAGGGUUUUGCCAUGUUGGCCAGGCUGGUCUUGAACUUCUGACCUCAAGUGAUCCAGCUGCCUCAGCCUCCCAAAGUGCUGAGAUUACAGGCAUGAGCCACCAUGCCUGGCCUCAUUGCUGAAUGAAUUUAAAGAUGACAAACUGACAACCCAAUACAGUGCUAUGCAAAUGGGCUGCUGUGUGUACUCCUCAGCGAAAGGAGACUCAACACCACCUUCCUCCUGAUCUGCUGUAUCAGAAACAAUGGUCUGGGCAGAACAGGGCACCAAUCACAAAGAAAACCCAUAGACACACUCCCAUGCAGGGUCCAGGGAGAUGCCACACCACCGAGUCAGCCAGACGCAAAACCUUUCAAGGAAGUAGGAUUUUACCUUGCUGGGUGACCACCUGAUCCCUUGCUUAUUAAACGCAGCUAAGCACUAUUUUAACACAAGGCCUGCAUGAGAGGCUGCUCGCUGUGGAGAGCCAGCCAUAAGUAAACCUUCUCCAUCCUUCUGUUAAAGACUCCUGGAGCCACUUUGAGGGAAUCGAGGGGGGCCAAGGGGCCUUUUCACAUGUGUUGCAGCCUUUUAGGCUGGGUACGGGGAGGCUCCUGCACAGCUGAAAACUUCAC